GUAGUUGACUCCGUGGCUACGAGACGACGCUGGCGGCGUGCUUAACACAUGCAAGUCGAACGCUGAAGCCUGGCUUUGUGUUGGGUGGAUGAGUGGCGAACGGGUGAGUAACACGUGAGUAACCUGCCCUCUUCUUCGGGAUAACGGUCUGAAAGGGCUGCUAAUACCGGGUAUUCACUGGUCCUCGCAUGGGGGUUGGUGGAAAGGGUUUUUUCUGGUGGGGGAUGGGCUCGCGGCCUAUCAGCUUGUUGGUGGGGUGAUGGCCUACCAAGGCUUUGACGGGUAGCCGGCCUGAGAGGGUGACCGGUCACAUUGGGACUGAGAUACGGCCCAGACUCCUACGGGAGGCAGCAGUGGGGAAUAUUGCACAAUGGGCGAAAGCCUGAUGCAGCGACGCCGCGUGAGGGAUGGAGGCCUUCGGGUUGUGAACCUCUUUCGCCCGUGGUCAAGCCGCAACUGUGGGUUGUGGUGAGGGUAGUGGGUAAAGAAGCGCCGGCUAACUACGUG
rnacentral:rRNA from 1 species